rnacentral:lncRNA from 1 species
GAGUCGGCGCCUUCCUCAAGAAUGCCUGGGACAAGGAGCCAGUGCUGGUCGUGUCCUUCGUCGUCGGGGGCCUCGCUGUAAUUCUGCCCCCAUUGAGCCCCUACUUCAAGUACUCCGUCAUGAUCAACAAGGCCACGCCCUACAACUACCCAGUAGAGGCGGGGUUUCACCGUGUUAGCCAGGAUUGUCUCGAUCUCCUGACCUUGUGAUCCACUCACCUCGGCCUCCCAAAGUGCUGGGAUUACAGUGCCCGUCCGUGAUGAUGGGAACAUGCCCGACGUGCCCAGCCACCCCCAGGACCCUCAGGGCCCCAGCCUGGAGUGGCUGAAGAAACUGUGAGCACCUCCACUGACAGAGGCGGCCCCUCCCACGGCUCCCAAUAAAAAUGUGAAAACCAACCCCCGAACCGGCUGGGGAAAAGGGCCACAGGAUAGAGCUCAGCUCCCACUCCACUCAACGCCAAAGCUGUCCUGGAGCCAGACGGUCCUGAGCUCUGGCACUGGAGGCCUGGGAGCCAUGCCCUUGACCAGCCUUGAGACCUCGAGCAAGACAAGGCAACCAUUCUGAGGCUGAGUUUCCUGCUCUGCAAACGACAUGACACCCUCGGCUGGAUGUUGCAGCGGUGACACUGAAGUAGUGACACCAGACGAUUUCUGUACUUAAUGUGAUGUCAGCACUUAGUAAACAUUCAUAUCCCCUGCCUCCAGAGUUCCUUAAGGUUCAAUUGAUGGAAUGCCUCCUCUGCACCAGCACCUGGGCAGAGACGGAGUUUCACCGUGUUAGCCAGGAUGGUCCCGAUCUCCUGACCUCGUGAUCCGCCUGCCUCGGCCUCCCAAAGUGCUGGGAUUACAGGCAUGAUGAGCCACUGCGCCCGGCCUAUUUCAACUUAAGUGAAAAUCUCACCUGUGGCCAGCGGCUACCGUGCUGGACAGCACAGUGCUCAUCUGAGGAGGCAGGACGCAGCCUCUCCGCCUCUUUGCUUAUUCUGCUGACUGACCGCCUCUCCAGCCAGAGCAUGAGCUGAAAAACGACAGCAACUUGUUUCUACAUCCCGUGCCUUAACCAGAGCCUGGCACGUAGUACAUCCUCGAUGAACAUUUGCAGAAUCAAUGACUUUGCAAAGUGAGAAGUGCUUGGUGAAUACCAAAGAGUCAGACAUGCUGGAGGUUAGGGCAGGAGGUGCGACUUUAGUUACGACCUGCAGAGAAGGCCCGUGGGCCCAGACUUGAAUAAGGAGGAGACAAAGGGGUGACAGGAGGAAAGUAUGCCAGGCUGAGGGGACAGCCCUGCACGCAGCUUCUGAGGACUCCAGCCUAGACAUGGAGGGAGAGAUGUGACUCAGCCAAACAGGGACCCAAAGACAGUGGCUGAAGCAGGUGCUGCUCCUGGGUCAGAAAGACCUGAGUUCCGGGCGGGGCACAGUGGCUCACGCCUGUAAUCCCAGCACUUUGGGAGGCCGGGGCGGGCAGAUCACUUGAGGUCAGGAGUUCAAGACCAGCCUGGCCAACAUGGUGAAACCCCGUCUCUACUAAAGAUACAAAAAUU